rnacentral:rRNA from 3 species
AGGCGACGACGGGUAGCCGGCCUGAGAGGGUGACCGGCCACACUGGGACUGAGACACGGCCCAGACUCCUACGGGAGGCAGCAGUGGGGAAUAUUGCACAAUGGGCGCAAGCCUGAUGCAGCGACGCCGCGUGAGGGAUGACGGCCUUCGGGUUGUAAACCUCUUUCAGCAGGGAAGAAGCCACAAGUGACGGUACCUGCAGAAGAAGCGCCGGCUAACUACGUGCCAGCAGCCGCGGUAAUACGUAGGGCGCAAGCGUUGUCCGGAAUUAUUGGGCGUAAAGAGCUCGUAGGCGGUUUGUCGCGUCUGCUGUGAAAGCCCGGGGCUCAACCCCGGGUCUGCAGUGGGUACGGGCAGACUAGAGUGCAGUAGGGGAGACUGGAAUUCCUGGUGUAGCGGUGAAAUGCGCAGAUAUCAGGAGGAACACCGAUGGCGAAGGCAGGUCUCUGGGCUGUUACUGACGCUGAGGAGCGAAAGCAUGGGGAGCGAACAGGAUUAGAUACCCUGGUAGUCCAUGCCGUAAACGUUGGGCACUAGGUGUGGGGGACAUUCCACGUUCUCCGCGCCGUAGCUAACGCAUUAAGUGCCCCGCCUGGGGAGUACGGA